rnacentral:lncRNA from 1 species
AACCUCUUUAUCCUACCGAAAAGAUGAUCCGUCGGCCAGCGGAUUCCAAAGGUUAUGACCUUUUGAAUUCUUAAUCAUUUAUUCUACUAACAACCUACUGUUACCAACUAAACUACUUAACCAUCAGUCUAAUUCUCAAGGUUAUCAAUAACUAACCAGCAACUUAUCCCAAAGUUUAUUUACCUAUUUUACAUAGUCUUACUCUUAAUUA